GGGGGGUGCAAGCGUUGUUCGGAUUUAUUGGGCGUAAAGCGCGUGUAGGCGGUUCUAUAAGUCUGAUGUGAAAGCCCUGGGCUCAACCUGGGAAGUGCAUUGGAUACUGUAGGACUUGAAUACGGGAGAGGGCAGUGGAAUUCCUGGUGUAGGAGUGAAAUCCGUAGAUAUCAGGAGGAACACCGGUGGCGAAGGCGGCUGCCUGGACCGAUAUUGACGCUGAGACGCGAAAGCGUGGGUAGCAAACAGGAUUAGAUACCCUGGUAGUCCACGCCGUAAACGAUGAGAACUAGGUGUUGCGGGUAUUGACCCCUGCAGUGCCGCAGCUAACGCAUUAAGUUCUCCGCCUGGGAAGUACGGUCGCAAGACUA
rnacentral:rRNA from 1 species